UUAGGGACGGACAAAGGCGGCGGCGAGGCCGAUCAGCUCGCCGCCAUUUUAAGCAGCGGGCUCUGAGGAGCAGCAGUUGCGGCCGGAGCAGCUCUUUAAUUCCUUUUCCCUCCGCCACCACCAUGUCGCGGGAUCGGUUCCGUAGCCGUGGCGGCGGUGGAGGCGGCUUCCACCGGCGUGGCGGCGGCGGUGGCCGUGGCGGCCCUAACCACGAUUUCCGAUCUCCACCGCCCGGCAUGGGCAUGGGCCAGAAUCGCGGCCCUAUGGGGGGCGGCCCGCAGGGCCCGGGCGGCCCACCGGGUGGAGGCCCGAAGCCUGAGCCUCCGAAGCCACCUGUGUCAACCUCUGCUCCGCCUUCUUCGUCCUCUUCAUCUGCCUCUACCACGGCGGGAGCUGCCGCCAGCCAGGCCGGUCCAGGAGCGCCUCCGCCGUCCACACUGCCCGCAGGACAGCAGCAGCAGCAACAGCAGACCCCGGUCUCGACGCCCUCUUCUACUCCUUCUGGCCCUGGAGGGCAGCCGCAGCCCAAACCGAGCCCCAGCCCCACCCCCGCCGGCGGCCCUAAGAAAGGACAAGGACAAUCUCCCGGUGGCGGGCCCAAGGGACCGGGCGGCCCUCAACAGGGACCCGGAGGGCCGCACAAGGGCGGGCCGGGGCACCGCGGCGGGCCGGGCGGAGAGCCACGGGGCCGCGGGCAGCAGCAGCACCAGGGACAGCAGAGCCUCUCCUCUCAGCAAGGCUCGGCCGGUGGCGGCAGCGGCGGCGAGAAACUCUCGGACGAGGGAUUUAAAGCUAACCUCUCCCUUCUGAGGCGACCCGGGGAGAAGACCUAUACUCAGCGUUGCCGCUUGUUUGUUGGGAAUUUGCCUGCUGAUAUAACAGACGAAGACUUUAAAAGACUGUUCGCCAAAUAUGGGGAGCCAGGAGAGGUUUUUAUCAACAAGGGAAAAGGCUUUGGAUUCAUUAAAUUGGAAUCUAGAGCCCUUGCAGAAAUUGCGAAGGCAGAACUGGACGAUACCCCCAUGAGGGGCAGACAGCUUCGUGUUCGGUUUGCCACACAUGCUGCUGCUCUUUCCGUGCGUAAUCUUUCACCCUAUGUGUCCAACGAGUUAUUGGAGGAGGCUUUUUCCCAGUUCGGUCCAGUGGAAAGAGCUGUUGUGAUUGUAGAUGAUCGAGGUAGAUCUACGGGAAAAGGCAUUGUUGAGUUUGCAUCAAAGCCAGCUGCACGAAAAGCAUUUGAACGGUGUACUGAGGGAGUGUUUUUGUUGACAACCACUCCUAGGCCAGUUAUUGUGGAACCGUUGGAACAAUUGGAUGAUGAAGAUGGUCUUCCAGAAAAGCUUGCUCAGAAGAAUCCGAUGUAUCAAAAGGAGAGAGAGACUCCUCCCCGUUUUGCUCAGCCUGGCAGUUUUGAAUUUGAAUAUUCCCAGAGGUGGAAAUCUUUAGAUGAAAUGGAAAAGCAGCAGAGAGAGCAAGUAGCAAAAAACAUGAAAGAUGCCAAGGACAAACUUGAAAGUGAGAUGGAAGAUGCUUAUCAUGAGCAUCAGGCAAACCUCCUGCGUCAAGACCUCAUGAGGCGUCAGGAAGAGCUGAGACGCAUGGAAGAGCUCCACAAUCAAGAGAUGCAGAAGCGCAAGGAAAUCCAGCUGAGGCAGGAGGAGGAGCGUCGCAGGAGGGAGGAGGAGAUGAUGAUACGUCAGCGGGAGAUGGAAGAGCAGAUGAGAAGACAGAGGGAAGAGAAUUAUAGUAGAAUGGGUUACAUGGAUCCAAGGGAGAGAGACAUGAGGAUGGGUGGUGCCACCACAAUGAACAUGGGAGAUCCUUAUGCUUCUGCAGCACAGAAAUUUCCACCUCUGGGAGGUGGUGGCGGAAUAGGUUAUGAAGCUAAUCCAGGAGUUGGCCAAGCAGCCAUGAGUGGUUCUAUGAUGGGAAGUGACAUGCGUCCUGAACGCUUUGGGCAGGGAGGUGCGGGGCCCGUGGGUGGCCAGGGUCCUAGAGGAAUGGGGCCUGGAACACCGACAGGAUAUGGUAGAGGGAGAGAAGAAUAUGAAGGCCCAAACAAAAAGCCCCGAUUUUAGAUGUGACCUGUAGUUUCAUUCCAGUUUGUUUUUUGUCUGUCUUGUUUAGACACCAACUUUUUAAUUCUUGCAUUUUAGUAAGAAAGCUACGUUUUUAUGGAUGUUAGAAACUUACUGACCUAAUAUUUGUAAGUGGUCUGUUUGGGCGAGUACAACUUAAUUAUGUAAUGCAGUGUUUCAAAACAAAUUUAGCUGUUUUUUUGAUGUAUAACGUCCCUAACUUGAUGGCAGUGUACCUUGUGCCACUGAAUUCCCAAAGUGUACCAACUUUUUUUUACUGUGCUUCAAAUAAAUAGAAAACUAAAUGUAGUAACUCUUCUUGCCAUUCGUGGUUAAACGUACGAGGCUUUAAUACCACACCUUGUGCAGUAAACCCAGAGUCCUGAACAGAGGUCAAACCAGACCAGGGUGUGGAACUGGAGUGAAGAGAGAUCUCUUCCCAGAAUGCCUCUAGCCUAAGAUUGGGCCAAACAGUAGCCAAACUUUCCAGUAAGGUGCAGGUUUUUUGAGCAUUAAUUGUGCUGCAAUAAGGAAGUAAAUGCAAAUCUUGCAAGUGCUGUAAGACAAUAACCGAAGCUACGCUGCAAGCAGUGCAGUAUGUAACAUGUCCUCUUUUAGCUCUGGAUAACGGGUGGUGGGAUGGUAGCACGUAACCACCUUGGCAGUUACUGCUUUGGAAUCUUUCAAAGACUUGAAGCAGAAGUCUAGCAAUGGUUACUUUAAAAAAGACAAAAUGAUAGAAUGACUUGUAUUGGCUGACUUCAGAACUAAAGGAUUGUUAAUGUGAUAUUUAUAUGCUCUUAAGCUCUCUGCGAUUACAGGAUCUGGCCUUGCUCCGUAUUGUACCUGAAAUUGCUUGGCAAAAAGACCAGACGUGUUACUGGAGUGAUUUAAAGUUAACUUGCUUAUGUCCUCAUGCUAAUUGGGUGGACUAAUUUGCCUAGUUCAGAAUACAAUCAUUUGUAUUAUGAGGACUGCAGGAACUAUCCUUUAAAUCGUGUAGCUGGUGGGCAAAUUAUGUAAACUACAGAAAUUAGCUUGCUUGCAUGAUGGUUAUCGCUCUUUUAUUAUUGAUGUUUGGAGAUAAUGCUUCAAAAGUAGUAUCUGAAUCUGGAGUUUAAUAGUUAAUACUACACAGUGCAAAUAAACUCCCUUUAAGGUUCUUUUGUAGAAGAUUUGCUGAAUUCGUUAGCUUGCUGUUCAUUUCAUUAAGCCCCAGAAGACUCUCAAAGCAUUCUGGACUCAUUGCUAAGGUAGUUUCUUUGCUUAUUUAUUACAUUGUACCAGAGAAGCUGGGAACGUGACUUCCCAGUGUCAAAUACCUUGGUGUUAAUGCAGGAUACAUCAACCUGCUUGGCACAAAAGUAGGUAAAGUUAUUUUGGCUGUACCUUCACACCAUUCCCCAACCUACCCAGCAUUCUGUGAGUAGCUUUUUAAUCUUCCAAAGAUCUUUUUUUAUCCAUUCCUUGUGCUAAGCAUUGGCUAAUUCUAAAUUCUAUGCUAUUUUUUUUUUCUCUGUGAGUUAAAACUUCAGUAUCAGAUUUUUGCAGUAUUUGAGAGUGCAGAUGAUACGAUCCCUCUUGAAGUGCUCACUGGAAGUGCUGUUACUCCUUACAUGAAAAAGUAGCAUGUUGUGAGAAGCUGCUAUCAGGUAACACCGAGGUGGGAGUGUGAAGUGCAUUAAAGAGCAGCUCUGCUCACUUGAAGGCUUCUUAACUCUCCCAGAAAAGUUUGGGGGUUGCUAACAUGCUACCACAAUCAAUUACUAUUGAGGAAAUUCCCAAUUGGCAGUUCCCAAACUGUGGACCAAGCAUUUGGGAGUACUUGUAUUGGACACUUAGUUUGAAAAUGAGCAGUACCAAUGCAAUUUGCUUGAUUGAAGUAGUGUUAAUGAAUGCAUUUGUUUCCUGGAGGGUGUUCGUGGGACACCCGCAAAAGGUCGGCGGUGUCUUGAGAUGGGGAAUUCUGAACUUUAAACAUUAAAUUAAUUUUUUUCAGUUUAUUUUUCAGAUUACAUGUCAUUCUUUAUUAAAGAGAUGCUGGUGCAUAUCCUAAAGUAUGUUCUUUUGUAGUUCUGUAACUUGGAAGAGUGAAGGAUGCUGAUGUCCUUGUACCUUACAGAGGUUGUCUUUUGGUACCCCCUGUUUUGUACGUAAGCUACCGUUGCUAGGUAUCAAAAAUAGCUGAGUUGCAAAACCAUGCUGAGUAACUACCCUGCAAGAUUUGGCAGUUUUCAAAACAUCAGAAAGUUGGGUUAAAUCUAGCUUUGUUGGGAGCUGCAGAAGCAGAGCUUCUAAAACAAGUUCUGCUUUGAGUUGGAUGUAUUAAAACAGGCAUACAAUGAACUAGCCAACUUCUUCACAAGACCUUUUAAAGGUGGUGUCUUUAAAAGCUGGCAAACAUGUCAACUUGAAAAUCUGCUAAAGCUGCUAAAUGUGGGAGGUGAGAAAGUUAAGUUCCUUUGCUCUGUUCCUAGGAGGUUUUGGACUCUCUUUUUUAAAUCUAAAAUCAGAUUGGUAGAAUUGAAGCUUUUAAAAAAAAUCAAAACAUAAACAUGUUUAGAGAGGUGCUUUGUUGGUCAGACCUGGUUUUGGAUGGUCUGAAUCACAUAACCACAUUUUUGUACUGGACUUGGAGGACAUUGGCUGUUGCAAUUUAGCUUGCUUUAUCAAAAUUGAGCCCAUUUUGACACUGGGAUCUCUAAAAACUGCAGCAUGUAGAAAGUGGUAUCAUUACACACCUAUCUUCAUGCUUUCUCAGGAAUGAAUACAGAAUAAUCUCUUCUGGUGUAGACACAUUACACUAAUCAUUCAUAACAGCUGAUGAGAAACUGCAACUGCUUUUGAGAUUUUGUGGUAUUUUUGUGGUAGGAAAAAAAAAAAUCUUGGCUUCUCCUUGGCAACCAUUUAUUGUGGCAGCAAGUUUUUGCUGGAGUUUGAGACUGCAAUUUACACUUUAAAAAAGCCCCAAACUAGUGGCCUGCUACAUAACUGCACUUAGCCAGCAUUUCUGCAGUUCAUAACUGUGAGGAACGUAGUCCCACAAAUGGCAAUGGACAUUAGGACCCGGAUGUAGUAUUCCUGCUUGCUCCAAGAUUCUCAUUGCCGACUGCGUACAGGUAGGUAACAAGCAAUAUCAUCUAACUUGGUGACUUUCUAUGUAAUCUUAUACCUGUGGGUAUUCUGACAUCACACUUCUGACUGUGGAAUUACAGUGCAGCACUCUCCAUACCUGUAUAUGUUGAGCUUGCAGCAAAGCCGCGUGGUUUUCGGUUUGAAGCUUUGUCUUGUUCAGAGGCAACAAGCAACUGGCUGUGGUUCUCAGAUGAGCGUUUUCAGACCCGAUUCCUUUGUGCAUAUCAACUCGGCUUGUGUGGCUUUCUUAGUUCUGAUGUAACCGAGGUAUUCUUAGAUGAGCUCUGUGGGGAAGAGGGAAUGUGGUCUUAGACUUGAGCUCAACUAGUCACCUAGGUGCUGUCAGUACCUAGAAAAGGACUGUUUAUGCUCUCUCUAGUGACCCAGUGGCCCAUCCUCAGCACAUCCCUCUGUAGGGUCCUGGCUCGGUAGGAAAUGCUUUAGAAUCACUGCUCUGGCCUCGGGUGCACUCCCAGCCUGCUAAUACAGACAGCUUGGAGACUGGUGGGGAGUAUUGUUUUUUUUGAGGACAAACACGUGAGUGCUUGAAUAUCCCUGUGAGCAGUUUCUCAGAGCUUAUUGGACAUUCCAGUUGUCUAUUUUAAUCCUUGACUGACAAGCAUAAUGCAUUCUUCUGCCUUUAAUUGACAGUGGUGAGGUUCUGUAUUUCUGCAUCAUAGGCUCAUCUUGGUAGUGUAAUGCUCAAUUUCAUUUUUCAUCAGUCUUGGGGAUGUAAUUCUAAACUCUUCAUUACUAGGAGCACUGAAUGUAGUGUUUCAGGAUUAUUAACAUGCUUUAUGUUUCCAGACAUCCAGACAUGCUGAUCUGCAGAUCUUUUGCAUUAGCUCUUCAACCUGAAUUUCAAGGUCCCUUGUUUUCAGCACAUGAUCUCUAGCUCUUGUCUGAUGCUUAGUUUGUUUCAGAGGUGGUGUAAUGUGUUUCCCUCCUUGCUCUGCAAAGUUCUGCUUUGCAUUCUUAUUUCUGGUAUUACUGUCAUGUUUGGACCCUUCUGUGUCAUCUUCCAGGCACGAUUCUUGCUGGUGAACGCAGGAUCUGCUGGAGAGCCUUGCCCUGCUCUAAUUAUCUUCUUAUGUUCCAUUGAAAGCCUGAAGCAGCAGCUGCACCUUAAGAUCAGAACAGCAGGUCUUGGGUUACACCACAGUGAGUGUAGCCAAACUCCAGCUAGUCAAGCAGUGACACCACUGUCACAAGUCAGUUUGGCUUCUUGGGGUGGCUUUACUCUUACCUGUGACUAGGGCUUCAGCAGCAAAACCAGUGGCAGCCUGCAUGGUGUCACCUAGCAAAACUGCAGUGGUAAACUCUAACCCAGUGCUCAGACCUGACUAGUUACUCCAGUGUGCUCCGGAUACUUGACCUGCAGGAAUGUUGUGGAGGGGUUAUUGGCACAUCUGCCUUGUUCUACAUACUUGAACCUAGCAGUUUUUUGACACUCUUGGAGCAAGCAAUUUGUGACUGAACCGUGGGUCUCAUACCAGCUCUGACUGUCUGCAGUAAUGAAACUUGGUGUGGUAGCUAACUUUAAAAGCAAAUAGCUAUGUCUGCUCUAAAUCAGUCUGUAACAAGUGGGUACAAGUAAUGACAUUAAAGUGCUUGCAUUGUGUUUCAUCUUGGUUUUAUCCCUGUAUUAUGAAAAAAUACUUUUUCUCAAAAGCUUACCUGAAGCUCAGAAGUGUGGUGUCAGAAUACAUUUGCGUACCUGCUAGGCCCUCAGAUCAGGUACUGGUGCUGUCAGGAGAGCCCAGCACAGCGUGGAUGGGGGCUUUACUGUAACAUUUAAGCAUACACAGUGUUGAUUUGCUUGCAGUUCUCCCCAUAGCUAAACACUGAGGCCUGUGAGUAGUUUAGGACUCGAGCAGUACUGGGGUUGCAUGUCUCUGUUAAUCAUUGCCAGCUGCAGUGACAGGAUCAGGAAGGCCAGUGGCUUGUUCCAUUAUGUUAAAUGAGGCUAAGUAUGUUGGAAAGGAUACAUUCAAAGUAUGCUGCUCUGGGUUAAUGACUUGCCUUCUUCCACUUCCUAGCAAGUUUGGAAUCAGCUAAUUAGCUUCAGAUACAUUUUUUUCUCUUCUCCUCAUACCAGCUAGUGGGGCUGUUAAAUAGCUGCUUACUGGAAAAGGAAAAAAAGGGAGGAUUGGCCUUUUCCCACCUCUGUCAUUGCUGCUAGAUAAUGAUUGACAUGUUAGGACUUGGCUGUGCAAUCCCGCAGUGGUCUGUGAAUACCCCAUCUCUAUAAAUGUUGCUUCUGAACACCAGUACUGAAGAGCUAACUGGGGAGGGCUGGGAGAAGUGUGGCUAUAAGUGAAUCUGGAGUGUUAAAAAGGAUGCACAAAGAUAUAGUAUCCCUUAUGCAUGGUGUUUGUUGCUAUGACAUAGAAAACAAAACGUGCAUACUCUGCUGCUCCUGAGGGCCGUGAUAAAACCCAGGUGGCGGGUCUGAGACUAAACUUUGAACUUGGCCCCUCCUGGUCAGAUCACACUGUGACCAUGGUGUGAUUUGUCUCCCUACCAGAGGUGUGCACAGAACCUCACACUGCACCCCUGGCUGCUGCCCAUUGCAGUUCACCCUUGACUUAGCUGCAGCAAAAGGGUGGGGUGGGUCUUCAGAAGGAAAGAACCUUGCUAAGAACAAAAGCUGUGACUGACAGUGCUGACCUCCAGUGUCUUCCUUUGGCUUUUGAAGCACUUGUAGGACUACAGGAGUCAGGGACACUGCACUCCUUUGUGAAGGGGAGGAAAGGAGACAAGAUUAGGGUGAAAAGAGUUGAAGUAGCUUGACAAAAUUGUGAAUGCCUUCACAUAAGGGAUAGUAUACCUCUGGCUGCCAUCAAACCUCACUGUAUCAGACUGGUGGUUACGGUUUGUGCUCAGACAAGGUGCAGUUCUGCAGUCAACUACCUGCAUAUUUCUUCAUCUCUUCAUGAGUGCUCAGGCUAGCCUAUUUCUGCCCCUUAUUUCUUCCACUUAGUCUUUUGGAAUAAUCUGUAAAUUUCCCCCCACACAUACACCUUGUAACUAAUCAGUCCAUGUAUCUUAAAACCUUGAUUUUUAAGUUAGUUUUGAAAUGGUCAGAUUUUUUUGUGUAUUACCUUAAUAACUUCAGUUGUUAUCCUUUAGGUGAAGAUGAAAGCUGAGUGAAACUGGAGUGCUCAUCCAUGGGAACUCAGGAGCAGAGCGUGAGCACAUCCAGCAUGAUGCCCAGUGGUAUAUGGAGGGACCAGGACAACAUGUGGACAAGUAAGUAGUUGGUGUCCUGCCUGUUGCCUAUCAUCCUGUGAUGUAUUGUGCAGCUCCUGCCUGAAAUUUGCCCUUGAUUCAUCUCAAUGUUAUAUAAAACAGUUGAAUCUUUCUUUUGUAGAGCCAAGAUAGAACCAUUGUUUGAAGCUUUUCAGCCCUGCAGCAUCAAAUAAACUGUCCUCUAAAUGCUGUAGGUGGUCAAAGGAGAAAUAGCCAUGAAUGGGGUGGGUGAUGGUCAGCAAGGAGAAAGGGGAACAAUAGAGCAGCUGCUUCUUAGAUGUUAAUUCAACUGAAAGCUGUUGAAAAACCUGCUUUUCUGAAAUGUUUUUUCUGAACAUUGAACUUUCAAAACAACCUGGACUAUAAAUCAGCACUUAGAAAAGCACAGGCAAAUAGAAAUUUAGGGAAACCGACUUGUGGAGCUGGAAUUAAUGUAAUUUUCCCUCUAAUUUACCACUGAAACUACAAGGGGGAACUGCAGAUAUUUAAAAUCUUGUGAGGACCACCACCCAAAGUACCUAAACUGAGGAGCUGAGGGAGGAAGAUGGAGUCUGAAUGCAGUGAAGAGGAGCCAGGAGCAUCCAGCUUCUAAAAUUAAAUAAAAUAUUUAUUUUUU